UCGAGAAUCUUCGGCAAUGGACGAAAGUCUGACCGAGCAAUGCCGCGUGCGGGAUGAAGGCCCUCGGGUUGUAAACCGUAAAAGUGAGGAGGAAGGCCCGCCGAAGAGGCGGGUUUGACCGAUCCACAGUAAGGACGGGCUAAGUUCGUGCCAGCAGCCGCGGUAACACGAACCGUCCAAACGUUAUUCGGAAUUAUUGGGCUUAAAGGGUGCGUAGGCGGCGCUUUAAGUCGGGUGUGAAAUCCCUCGGCCCAACCGAGGAACUGCGCCCGAUACUGAGGUGCUCGAGGGAGACAGGGGUGAGCGGAACUGAUGGUGGAGCGGUGAAAUGCGUUGAUAUCAUCAGGAACACCGGUGGCGAAAGCGGCUCACUGGGUCUCUUCUGACGCUGAGGCACGAAAGCUAGGGUAGCGAACGGGAUUAGAUACCCGUGUAGUCC
rnacentral:rRNA from 1 species